GAUAAGACCAGUGGGUCGUUUCCCUUUGAGGAUGAUGACAUUGUGUGGUGCAGUCUUGGGCCACGCCAUGUUCUUCACAGGUACUGGGUAAGGCUGCUCUAGGCCAGGCUCAUGGGUGCUAAUGUGGAUCAUGGAUCCCCUUCUCGGGAGAGAGAGCAUCCAGACUUUUCGGGAGCAGAAUCUCUCAGGUUUGUUUCUCUCAGGCUCUCGUCACAGUGACGACAUCUUACCAACAACCUCGGAGAGAAGAGAACCAACCGAGGGACUCAGCAUUAAAUAUCAUGAUCCUGACCACUGGCUAUAGUAAUUUCCCAAACAGCAGCAUCUGUUACCAAGACAACCACAUCAUCACUGUGUGCUCUGGUAGCUGUCAUUACGCAUGAGGUUGGAUUCUCACAAUUCUCUGCACCAGGGCCUCCCAUAACCUUGCCAAGGACUUGGUCUGUGUAUCAGCUGCCCCGUGUCCUCUCAGCUGAGGAAACAGAGGCGUCUGGGAGGUAUGUCCUGCUUGGGGCAUGUGGUUGGUAAAAAGCAGAAUUGUGGCAAUGUGGGUUUCUCACUCCAGCCCCCUUUGCAAAAGCCUGGUUCAUCCAUUGGAAGGCUGUUUCUCUGGGGCUUCCCAUGGCUUCCUCUGCGCUGGAGCCAGCUCCCUCUCCUUCCCUCCCCCUUAUCUCUGGAACACAGGCUAAAUGCAAAGGAAAAGAGCCUCUGCCACAGCCAAGAUUCCUAUCUGACUUGGAACAUGGGCCACCGCUAGGCUUCCUCUUGAGUUCCUGGCCUGAAGAGGCCUUGCCUGCAGCUGCCAUGGCCCCACAGCGGAAGCCAGCACUGAGAAGAUAAGGGGAAGGCUGGGGGCCUGGGGCCACUUCCCUACCAGACGCUAGAGCACAUCUCCUGUGCUUUCUGACAGGCGGCCUGCAGAAAGGGCUUCCCGGCUGGAUGCAUUCCUAGGGACACCACAAACCAAGCAGGAUUUCUGCUGUUCUUGACUCACAGAAAAAUCCAUUCCCUCACAGUUGUGGAGGCGAGAAGUCUAGAAUAAAGAUAUGGACGGGGCAGUGAAACUCGGGAGAGACCCCUUCUGGCCCUCCGAGCUUCAGUUCCCACCAGUACCCUGCUGGCAGCCACACCGCCCAACCCUUUGAAUCCCUUCCCAACAUGGCUUCUCCUGUUCUCUUAUUCUGAGGACAUCAGUUAUUGAAUUUAGGGCCCUCCUAAUCCAACACGUCAUCCUUCCAGACAGGGUCACAUUCAUAAGCUGUGUGAGGACAUGAAUUUCAGGGUACAUUAUAACACAUCUAGAAAUGUCCUGCGACCAUCUCCCCUAAACACGUAACCUUAAAACAAGAAGCAUAUUGUACAUCUCAAAGGAUGGAGGUGAUGAGAAGAGGCCAUUGACCAUCUGUCCGGAAGGCUGGGGGACCUGAGCCUGGGUUCCCAUACCUCAUCCUGUCCUUCCUUUCCAUGCAAACCUCUCAUCCUUCCCUACACCAAGAGUCAAGACUCCUGAGACUCCUCUCCAUGCAUGCAGAAGACGACCACCAUCUUCCACAGCCACAGACAUCUCACUGCGGUUCGCCACGGAUAAUCUAAGCACUCAUUCAAAUGUCACACAGUACCCAAGCUGUCAAAGGCUACGGACUGGGGUGUGACCCAGGGUGGGAUGGGACACACCACACCUGGUGUGGUCGGUACCUAGAGAACAGCCGAUGAUACUUGCUGAGGUGUACCACCGACACAUUCCUGUGAUCCCCACAGCCCACUCUUCUAACCCCCAGGAAUCCCAUUAAGGAAGACUGGAUAGCAGCUGGGUCUUCCAGAGUCAUGUGACUCCCACAGAAGCCCAGGAAGUCUGCAGUGCAGAAGAGGGGAGAUGUCCCUAGUUGGGCCUCUAGAUUUUGACACAUGGGGCAAGGCCACUGGUCACUGGGAACAUGGAGGGUGAUGAGAGGAGUUGAUGCAGCCUGUGAGCAAUAUGGUAAAAAGCUCUUCUCAGCCACAGGCCAGUUUGCCAGCUGUCCCUACUCCUCAGAGCCCUGUCUCAGACAGGAAACAGCGUGGGGACAGAACACAGCCACCAGGCAGUGAGUCCCGCCCACAGAGAGGACAGCAGGUGACUGGAAAGAGCCCGCUGCCUUGCUUCGGGUUCGCAGAGUCAGAAGCAUGGAAGACCCUGCUUCUCUACUUCCUCUAGUUAGACAGCAGGCCCCUCUCUAACUCAUAUCCUCAGUCAGUGGCUUUGCUUGCUUAUUGAUUUCAACCCCCAUGGUUCCACAGGAACCUACCAUCCCUCAGCAAAAUGACCCAAAGAAUAAAGAAUUGUGAGCCAAGGCAAGCAGUACACUGUCCCCGUCACUCUCACCUCUGAAAAUAACCCUUUAUUUAGCUGGCACUCAAUUUAGGUUCUGACCAACGGACUAGAAUGACAGGAAAGCUCAGGCAAGCCCUGAAGCCUCCCACCCCACCCCAUGCCAUCCUGCUCCCACCUCCCACUGCCAGCAGAGCGGCCUGCCAACCUACUCCACCCACGAGGAGCAGAAGCCAACGGUAAGAGCCUGCUGUGAGGCACCCCGUGUGGAGCCUCAAGCCGCCAGAACCUCCUUGUGGAAUGAUUCCUCACAGCCUCUCAGGGUCCAGAAUAUGAAGUUAAGAAGCAUCUGCGUAUUAGAAGAAAGUUUCUUAAAUGGGCUGUGUUCCACAGCUGGGUACUAUUUGGUGGCAGGGGAGCUGGUUGUAAUUUUACUUCAGCAAUAAUACAACUAUGAAAAUUA